rnacentral:rRNA from 1 species
GGGUUGUGAGGUUAAGCGACUAAGCGUACACGGUGGAUGCCCUGGCAGUCAGAGGCGAUGAAGGACGUGCUAAUCUGCGAAAAGCGUCGGUAAGGUGAUAUGAACCGUUACAGCCGGCGAUGUCCGAAUGGGGAAACCCAGUGCAAUUCGUUGCACUAUCGUUAACUGAAUACAUAGGUUAACGAGGCGAACCGGGGGAACUGAAACAUCUAAGUACCCCGAGGAAAAGAAAUCAACCGAGAUUCCCCCAGUAGCGGCGAGCGAACGGGGAGCAGCCCAGAGUCUGAAUCAGCUUGUGUGUUAGUGGAACGGUCUGGAAAGUCCGACGGUACAGGGUGAUAGUCCCGUACACCAAAAUGCACAGGUUGUGAACUCGAAGAGUAGGGCGGGACACGUGGUAUCCUGUCUGAAUAUGGGGGGACCAUCCUCCAAGGCUAAAUACUCCUGACUGACCGAUAGUGAACCAGUACCGUGAGGGAAAGGCGAAAAGAACCCCGGCGAGGGGAGUGAAAAAGAACCUGAAACCGUGUACGUACAAGCAGUGGGAGCACCUUUAUGGUGUGACUGCGUACCUUUUGUAUAAUGGGUCAGCGACUUAUAUUCUGUAGCAAGGUUAACCGUAUAGGGGAGCCGCAGGGAAACCGAGUCUUAACUGGGCGUUAAGUUGCAGGGUAUAGACCCGAAACCCGGUGAUCUAGCCAUGGGCAGGUUGAAGGUUGGGUAACACUAACUGGAGGACCGAACCGACUAAUGUUGAAAAAUUAGCGGAUGACUUGUGGCUGGGGGUGAAAGGCCAAUCAAACCGGGAGAUAGCUGGUUCUCCCCGAAAGCUAUUUAGGUAGCGCCUCGUGAAUUCAUCUUCGGGGGUAGAGCACUGUUUCGGCUAGGGGGUCAUCCCGACUUACCAACCCGAUGCAAACUACGAAUACCGAAGAAUGUUAUCACGGGAGACACACGGCGGGUGCUAACGUCCGUCGUGAAGAGGGAAACAACCCAGACCGCCAGCUAAGGUCCCAAAGUCACAGUUAAGUGGGAAACGAUGUGGGAAGGCACAGACAGCCAGGAUGUUGGCUUAGAAGCAGCCAUCAUUUAAAGAAAGCGUAAUAGCUCACUGGUCGAGUCGGCCUGCGCGGAAGAUGUAACGGGGCUAAACUGUGCACCGAAGCUGCGGCAGCGACACUAUGUGUUGUUGGGUAGGGGAGCGUUCUGUAAGCCUGCGAAGGUGGCCUGUGAGGGUUGCUGGAGGUAUCAGAAGUGCGAAUGCUGACAUAAGUAACGAUAAUGCGGGUGAAAAGCCCGCACGCCGGAAGACCAAGGGUUCCUGUCCAACGUUAAUCGGGGCAGGGUGAGUCGACCCCUAAGGCGAGGCCGAAAGGCGUAGUCGAUGGGAAACAGGUUAAUAUUCCUGUACUUGGUGUUACUGCGAAGGGGGGACGGAGAAGGCUAUGUUAGCCGGGCGACGGUUGUCCCGGUUUAAGCAUGUAGGCGGAGGUUCCAGGUAAAUCCGGUACCUUAUUAACGCUGAGGUGUGAUGACGAGGCACUACGGUGCUGAAGUAACAAAUGCCCUGCUUCCAGGAAAAGCCUCUAAGCAUCAGGUAACAUUGAAUCGUACCCCAAACCGACACAGGUGGUCAGGUAGAGAAUACCAAGGCGCUUGAGAGAACUCGGGUGAAGGAACUAGGCAAAAUGGUGCCGUAACUUCGGGAGAAGGCACGCUGAUAUGUAGGUGAAGCCCCUGCGGGUGGAGCUGAAAUCAGUCGAAGAUACCAGCUGGCUGCAACUGUUUAUUAAAAACACAGCACUGUGCAAACACGAAAGUGGACGUAUACGGUGUGACGCCUGCCCGGUGCCGGAAGGUUAAUUGAUGGGGUUAUCCGUAAGGAGAAGCUCUUGAUCGAAGCCCCGGUAAACGGCGGCCGUAACUAUAACGGUCCUAAGGUAGCGAAAUUCCUUGUCGGGUAAGUUCCGACCUGCACGAAUGGCGUAAUGAUGGCCAGGCUGUCUCCACCCGAGACUCAGUGAAAUUGAACUCGCUGUGAAGAUGCAGUGUACCCGCGGCAAGACGGAAAGACCCCGUGAACCUUUACUAUAGCUUGACACUGAACAUUGAGCCUUGAUGUGUAGGAUAGGUGGGAGGCUUUGAAGCGUGGACGCCAGUCUGCGUGGAGCCAACCUUGAAAUACCACCCUUUAAUGUUUGAUGUUCUAACGUUGGCCCCUAAUCGGGGUUGCGGACAGUGUCUGGUGGGUAGUUUGACUGGGGCGGUCUCCUCCCAAAGAGUAACGGAGGAGCACGAAGGUUAGCUAAUCCUGGUCGGACAUCAGGAGGUUAGUGCAAUGGCAUAAGCUAGCUUGACUGCGAGCGUGACGGCGCGAGCAGGUGCGAAAGCAGGUCAUAGUGAUCCGGUGGUUCUGAAUGGAAGGGCCAUCGCUCAACGGAUAAAAGGUACUCCGGGGAUAACAGGCUGAUACCGCCCAAGAGUUCAUAUCGACGGCGGUGUUUGGCACCUCGAUGUCGGCUCAUCACAUCCUGGGGCUGAAGUAGGUCCCAAGGGUAUGGCUGUUCGCCAUUUAAAGUGGUACGCGAGCUGGGUUUAGAACGUCGUGAGACAGUUCGGUCCCUAUCUGCCGUGGGCGCUGGAGAAUUGAGGGGGGCUGCUCCUAGUACGAGAGGACCGGAGUGGACGCAUCACUGGUGUUCGGGUUGUCAUGCCAAUGGCAUUGCCCGGUAGCUAAAUGCGGAAGAGAUAAGUGCUGAAAGCAUCUAAGCACGAAACUUGCCCCGAGAUGAGUUCUCCCUGAGACUUUAAGUCUCCUGAAGGAACGUUAAAGACGAUGACGUUGAUAGGUCGGGUGUGUAAGCGUAGCGAUACGUUGAGCUAACCGAUACUAAUGAACCGUGAGGCUUAACCUUACAACGCCGAAGCUGUU